GCAUGAAACAGGAAAAACAGCAAGAAAACUAUAUACAAGUGAUGUGUGUAAUAGAAGAUCUCGAAUCUUUUCCUUCUGAUCUGUGGAAGUGAUGUGAUCCAGAUGACCAAUCCUGUAAGAAGAGUGAUCUCCCCCGCAAGGAAUAUACUUACACAGACAAAGUGAAUGAUUUUGUUGGUACCAUCUUCUUGAAGUCAUUGGAGAUGCGAACAUAGAAUGUCCAUGCCAGAAAGAUGAUGAAUAGAGACACAACAAGGAUUUCAAAACCGGACAGAAUGCCUAUGUACUUGUUCACAACUACUGGAUUGGAGAGAACAGACAGUGAAGAUCGUCCUUUCCUGUCAACCAAAUUCAGAAGGGAGCGAAGCCAUGUACAACACACCGGGUGCUUGAGCACCUAUUAACCCUGACGUAAACUCGUAUGUUAAGACGGAUAUAUUAAAGCGUUAGCACCCAGUGAUUGAAAAAGCUUGAAGGGUGCUUUGGUUCAGCAGCUAACUUAAAGUCCUUCCUUUUGAGAUGAGCGUGGUUUUGACACUAAGUUGCUGCAAAUUUUUUAUAGCUAACUUAUCUUUUUCUGCUCUGUACACAAAUGUUUCCUUCUUUUUCUCCAAUAUUGAUUCUUGAUU